GUACACAUAGUUUAACAAAAACAUUAGAUUGUGAUUCUAAAAAUAAGGGUUAAACCCCCCCUGUCCACC
rnacentral:tRNA from 1 species